UAAUACGGAGGGUGCAAGCGUUAAUCGGAAUUACUGGGCGUAAAGCGCGCGUAGGCGGCUGACUAAGUCGGGUGUGAAAGCCCCGGGCUCAACCUGGGAAUUGCAUUCGAUACUGGUUGGCUGGAGUCUGGUAGAGGGGUGUGGAAUUCCAGGUGUAGCGGUGAAAUGCGUAGAUAUCUGGAGGAACAUCAGUGGCGAAGGCGGCACCCUGGACCAAGACUGACGCUGAGGUGCGAAAGCGUGGGUAGCAAACAGGAUUAGAUACCCUGGUAGUCCACGCCGUAAACGAUGAGAACUAGCCGUUGGGAGGAUUAGCCUCUUAGUGGCGAAGCUAACGCGAUAAGUUCUCCGCCUGGGGAGUACGGCCGCAAGGUUA
rnacentral:rRNA from 1 species